AACUAACAAGGAUUCCCCUAGUACCUGCGAGUGAAGCGGGAAAAGCUCAAAUUUAAAAUCUGAUAGUCUUAGGCUGUCCGAGUUGUAAUCUAGAGAAGUGUUAUCCGCGCUGGACCGUGUCCAAGUCUCCUGGAAUGGAGCGUCAUAGAGGGUGAGAAUCCCGUCUUUGACACGGACUACCAGGGCUUUGUGAUGCGCUCUCAAAGAGUCGAGUUGUUUGGGAAUGCAGCUCAAAAUGGGUGGUAAAUUCCAUCUAAAGCUAAAUAUUGGCGAGAGACCGAUAGCGAACAAGUACCGUGAGGGAAAGAUGAAAAGAACUUUGGAAAGAGAGUUAAACAGUACGUGAAAUUGCUGAAAGGGAAACGCUUGAAGUCAGUCGCGUUGACCAGGGAUCAACCUUGCUCUUGCUGGGUGUACUUUCUGGUUAACGGGUCAACAUCAAUUUUGAUUGUUGGAAAAAGAUCAAGGGAAUGUAGCAUCUUCGGAUGUGUUAUAGCCUUUGGUUAUAUACAACAAUUGGGAUUGAGGAACUCAGCACGCCGAAAGGCCGGGUUUUUAACCACGUUCGUGCUUAGGAUGUUGGCAUAAUGGCUUUAAUCGACCCGUCUUGAAACACGGACCAAGGAGUCUAACAUGCCUGCGAGUGUUUGGGUGGAAAACCCGAGCGCGUAAUGAAAGUGAAAGUUGAGAUCCCUGUCGCGGGGAGCAUCGACGCCCGGACCAGAAAUUUAUGGACGGUUCCGCGGUAGAGCAUGUAUGUUGGGACCCGAAAGAUGGUGAACUAUGCCUGAAUAGGGUGAAGCCAGAGGAAACUCUGGUGGAGGCUCGUAGCGAUUCUGACGUGCAAAUCGAUCGUCAAAUUUGGGUAUAGGGGCGAAAGACUAAUCGAACC
rnacentral:rRNA from 1 species